rnacentral:misc_RNA from 1 species
AUACAUAUAGAUUUAAUAUCAUAGUGUGAAAUAUACAACAGUUGCUUCUCUAGGUUGAAAGAGGAGAUAGAAUAAUAGAACCCUGCGGUAUCAGUCAUAGAUGACAGCAGAAGAAUCGGGACAAACGUAACUAGAAUUAGGUUUCCACAUUCGCCACUCCAGAUCUGACCCUUUACUUCUGUCUGAAUCAAAAUGUGCUCUCUGCGAAUAUAGCGACAUCUACAACGUGAGUUUUCAAAAAACAGUAUUAUUGCCAGAAUGGAACCAGCAAGUAGGAAUCUGUGACCCAAACCACUAUCACAGUGUGGAAGAUCAAUUAAAAUUCCAGUCUCACCACGAUAACAACAUGUUAACACUAGAAAGCUUGCGCAAUCACUACAGCUCUUGUUUCUCAUGCGGGGUUAGUUGGACGGACAACCACGUUUCCCUGGACUGUUUGGAAUGUGGUGGGUACGCUCUGCAACGGCCCUGUCCCAAAUGUGAAGGAGAAUGUAAGAGCAUUUGGAGCAGAGACAUGGCAGCUUCUCACGAGAGUAAACACGCCAAGUGGGAAGGCCAGUGUCAUAGCUCUGAUAAGUCACAGAGUGAUAACUGUGAGUUCUUUCCAAAAGCUUUAGGGAAUCUAAAAAAAAAAUUAUGACAAGUUGUAAUUAGUCCAGAAGAAACAACAAAUUUAUAAUUUUGAUAGUUGUAAAUAAAAAGCUUGUAACGAUGCAAGUAUGUGUGUAUGCUGCACAGCAUGUUAGUAUUUUAAAUGUUUGUUUGAUAUUUUCACGUUAACAAAGGAAGAAUUAUUACUGUUAGUGUUGGAUUAAUCUUCGUUAUUGAAGAGUGUCAAACUGUUAUUAAAACUCGAAAGUAGUUGUGUUUUGAUCUUGUUGUGUUCUGCAAUAUUUACCCUUGUGUUACUGAUAGUGAAGGUUAUUAGGCCUGUGGAAAAGCCGGUAAGGCUCAAAAAGGCGUCUGAGCUGAAGAGAAGAAAAAGAGGAAGAAGAAGAUGGAGAGCUAUACUAUAUACGUCUAAAAGGUUGUUUAUAGUUAUUCAUAGAAACUUACGUGAUAAAUAAAUUAAAACCGAUUAUUUGUCAACGCUUUUACAGUAAAAAGUAUAGUAAAUAUAGUCAUUAGGAUGACCAAGACAAUUACUAUUAAUUACCUUCUACGGCUACAGUCAAAUACCUUUAUUUCAUAUGAUCAACACUGAAGUAUACUUGAUUGUUUUAUCUACUUAAACCCAAAGUGAUUGAUGAAUAUACGUAGCUGGAGACAAAUCACUUAGUACUGUUGUCUUGUCUGAGCGUAACCAGUGACAGGCAGGCAGGACUAUUUAUUUGGCUAUACCCAAAUUAUACUUAGGUAUUAUCUGGCAUCAGUUAAUCCCAUUCAUGUUUGUUUGUUUAUUCUUUGGUCGAAUUAAAAUUCAUUUGAUGUAAUUAUUUAACUGCGGUCAAAAUUAGAUUACACAAACAAAACACUCGUAGGAUUAUAUUAGUAUAAACAAGUUCAUUGAUUGUAUUAUUUAGCACUUGCAAGUGUUAUUAUGUUACAAAGUACUGACUUAUUAGUUAUAUUAAAAAUCACUAAUGAAGAAUUGUAUUAUUUUUUUAUUAUACCUGUAAGUUAAACUUCUGAAAUUAUUUCCUGUGAGUUUAUUGGAAUAUAUUUUUUCCAAAAAUCUCUAGAUUCCCAAUACCAGUUGAAUAUUUUAAAAAUAAAUAAAACAUAAUAAAUGGAUUAUAUUUAAGACAGAACAAUUUACUGACAAUAUUUUAGUGUUUUAAAGUAUUUAAACAUGUUCGUGGUGCAGCUAGUGCUUCUAAAAUAUGUUUGAAACAUACUCUUUGAAUAACACAUUUAUCCUAUACUGUAUGCGUGUUUUCACCUUGCAUUUACAAGAGUGGAGCAGAUGAUGUAAAGGUUAAUUCUGGCAGCCAAAAUAUACAUGACCAUACGUUAUUAAUGACCUGUAAAUAUUUUGGUAGUUUCUAUCAAUUUUGAACAAAGAUUGUAAAAGUUCUAAAUCUUUUAUAAAUGCCACCAUAUUCUUUUUAUGGUUCAAUAAUAUCUUCCUGCCAAAGCUAGUCCAAAAUAGCUAGAGCUUUCAAUAAGAAAGUGUUAACAAUAUUAUAAAGUAACAUGCUUUACAAAUUGGACUUAGAAGUAGUAAUAUGGAUAACAAAGAUAACUGUCAUUUUGUUGUUAGUUCAAUAACUUGAUCAGUCUACCUCUCAUGUAGUCACUUAGCAUCUGUUGAAAAACUUGAAAUGAUCAUAUAUAUAUAUAUAUUACUAACAGUUUUGAAACAUUGACAAAUAAGGCAUACGCCUAACUUUUUUAAAUGAUAAACGUCUGCUUAUGAAGUCCUUGUUUAAUAUCAAGUGAAGUUUCAAGUAUAUAGGAUUUUUCUAUGUUUUUAAAAAUGAGCAAUAAUUCUAACUACCAGAUCAUUUAUUAGAUUUUUCAUUUUUAUUAUUAAUAAAAUUCAUAUUUCCAGCUCCAACCUCCUUUAGUAAGUGAACUUAAAAGCACUUAUUCUAGGAUGAUUUCUUCAAUAAGUAUUGUUAGUUUUGCUGUUGCUUUCAUCGAAAUAACUAUUACACAAAAAUAUGUUAUAUAUGACAAAAAAAAGGUUUUAAUUUAAGAAACCGCGGAUUUCAUCUAAUAGUUAAUAAAUGCAUUCAAAUAUACCUAAUCCAAACAAAAAAUGUCCCAAUGUAAAUGAUAUUUUUAAGAUUGAAGUUUUAAAAAUAUAUGUCGCUCUUGCUUUUAACUGUUUCAGCACCCUGGCAUACAUCAUCACACUAAGCACCAUCAUCCAAAUGUGACUAAACUGAAAUUAGUCAUAAGAUAAAAUGUUUAGUAAAUAAUUAUUAACCAUUACAUUUGAAUAAUACAGUGUACAUCACAAGAGAUAUUGACAAAAAUAUUCACAUAAAUUAUACAGCUGUAAGUAAUUAUCAAAUAAUUAUAAACACAUUUGUUAAGAAAGAAAUAACUUUGUUGCCUAAUAUAAUAAAUAUGACACUAUUUUCAUAGGUAUUUGCUUGUUAGCCUUUUGGUGCAUUAUUAUUACUAUAAAUAUGUUUUACAAAACAUAUGUCAAUGAAUUGACCAUGAUGUUGUAAAGCUUGUAUAAUUGUGAUAUUCUUUUGUUUCUUAUUUGCAUGUUUUUUAUUCCUGGUUGCACAUUCAGCCAGUUCUUACUAAAUUUGUUUCAAUACAUCCAUUAUUGUUUUAACCAGAAAAUAAUAAAAGGGAAGUAACUAUGAGUGUGCUGUAAUACAGCUUUUUGACUUUGUUUUUCAAAAACAGAUUAAAACUGUGAAAACACUGCCUUACCUGUUUUCUAAGCCUAUUUUCACAUUAUUGACG